AGCAGCCGCGGUAAUUCCAGCUCCAAUAGCGUAUAUUAAAGUUGUUGCAGUUAAAAAGCUCGUAGUUGAAUUUCGGGAUUAGUAAGUUGGUCGUGCCUCUGGUAUGUACUGGCUCUACUGGUUCCUCCUUCUUGAAGAACUGUAAUGUCAUUAAUUUGGUGUUGCAGGGAAACAGGACUGUUACUUUGAAAAAAUUAGAGUGUUUAAAGCAGGCUAACGCUUGAAUACAUUAGCAUGGAAUAAUGAAAUAGGACGUUUGAUCCUAUUUUGUUGGUUUCUAGGAUUGACGUAAUGAUUAAUAGGGAUAGUUGGGGGCAUUAGUAUUCAAUUGUCAGAGGUGAAAUUCUUGGAUUUAUUGAAGACUAACUACUGCGAAAGCAUUUGCCAAGGAUGUUUUCAUUAAUCAAGAACGAAAGUUAGGGGAUCGAAGACGAUCAGAUACCGUCGUAGUCUUAACCAUAAACUAUGCCGACUAGGGAUCGGAUGAUGUUAAUUUUUUAAUGACUCAUUCGGCGCCUUACG
rnacentral:rRNA from 1 species